rnacentral:rRNA from 1 species
GAACUUGAGAGUUUGAUCCUGGCUCAGAACGAACGCUGGCGGCAGGUCUUAGGCAUGCAAGUCGAACGGGUGAAGCAGGGGCUUGCCCUUGUGGAUCUAGUGGCGCACGAGUGAGUAACGCGUGGGAAACUGCCCAUCACUGGGGAAUAACGUUUGGAAACGAACGCUAAUACCGCAUACGCCGGA